rnacentral:rRNA from 1 species
GACGAACGCUGGCGGCGUGCUUAACACAUGCCAGUCGAACGGAAAGGCCCUGCUUUUGUGGGGUGCUCGAGUGGCGAACGGGUGAGUAACACGUGAGUAACCUGCCCUUGACUUUGGGAUAACUUCAGGAAACUGGGGCUAAUACCGGAUAGGAGCUCCUGCUGCAUGGUGGGGGUUGGAAAGUUUCGGCGGUUGGGGAUGGACGCGCGGCUUAUCAGCUUGUUGGUGGGGUAGUGGCUUACCAAGGCUUUGACGGGUAGCCGGCCUGAGAGGGUGACCGGCCACAUUGGGACUGAGAUACGGCCCAGACUCCUACGGGAGGCAGCAGUGGGGAAUAUUGCACAAUGGGCGGAAGCCUGAUGCAGCAACGCCGCGUGCGGGAUGACGGCCUUCGGGUUGUAAACCGCUUUCGCCUGUGACGAAGCGUGAGUGACGAUAAUGGGUAAAGAAGCACCGGCUAACUACGUG